AAGUCGUAACAAGGUUUCCGUAGGUGAACCUGCGGAAGGAUCAUUAUUGAAUUAAUGUAGAGUUUGGUUGUAGCUGGCCUCUAAUUAACUUGGGGGCAUGUGCACACCUUUCUCUUUCAUCCCAUACACACCUGUGCACCUGUGAGACAGAUGUUUUCUAGGAGGGAAGGAACUUUAUUGGACCUACUCUCCUUGGACUUCUGUCUACUUAAUCUAUAUAAACUCAAUUUAUUUUAAAAUGAAUGUAAUGGAUGUAACACAUCUAAUACUAAGUUUCAACAACGGAUCUCUUGGCUCUC
rnacentral:misc_RNA from 1 species